rnacentral:lncRNA from 1 species
GCCAAGCCCUAGAGUGUGGCUUCAGCUACGAGCCUUUGGGACGGUGAGAAUUCUGGAGACCUUCCCCUUCAUUCUGGGCAGACUUAACCAUACAUCCCAUUCCACCAUGUAAACUAUGACACCCUGUACGAAAUGCAAUUUUGGAGCCUUUGGAAAGCUCUGUGCUUCCCAGAGAAAUGCUCGAACGUUCUGUCAUCCAUAUGAGCCUGAAGGGCCUGGGGCUGUGGGUUCCUGAGCCAGGAGAGAAGACUGUUCUUGGUGCUUUCCUCUCCGCACUGACCUCUGCUCUGUCCUUUAUCAGACAGGAAACAGAGACUUGCAGCCGAGCUGAAAAGGAGCCAGAGUUGUGAACCAGAAAUGAACAAGCGAACAACAGUGGUCAGCUACAGGCCGGAGAAGAAAAUACUAGAUACAGGUGGCAGGAAGAUGGGGCUCCCGCGGGCCCCCGUGAAGGCUCAGCCCUGAUGCUGCUUGAGGACCCAGCUCAGCUGACAGCAGGAGCCCGUGAGCUGUGGCCUCACAGAAACUCGAAUGCUCAAACUUCGGAGUGCAUUAAGAUCCUAGUCAUACUUUGGAAUCCUGAAAGAAAACAGAGGAACCCAUUAUCUCUUGAAAAACAUUACAGGUUAUAUCUAAUAAAUUUAUGUAACAAAUUAUGGAAGACUUCGGUACAACAGAAAACUUUUCUUACUCAAUCUCAGUAUUGAUUUCACGUAAAACUGCCUGUCAUCAUCGGGUGUAAGAAAAGUAGCUCAUUUUCUGGCAAUUUGCAUGGAUCUCCGUGGGAAUCAUCAUAAAAGGAACACUGUGGAUUCUCCCCUAACUUCCCACGCCCAGCAGAACUGCAGGCGGACAGGUUUUACGCCAACGACAGAUCUUCACUGGCGCAAAUGGAAAACGUAUCUCCCCGGCUCGCCGGGCGCUCUCCGCACUCCUGCUAGGACGGCCGGCCGGGGAGGACCGCGGAAGUUCACCACUCUGGAAACAGCCCUUUGGGAGGAAGGCAGGACAGGAGUUUCAAAAAGAAGGGGAAUUACGGACGUCCUGGGACCCUGGAAUCAGCAUUCCCAUGUUAAUUAG